GAUGAACGCUGGCGGCGUGCCUAAUACAUGCAAGUCGAGCGAACAGACGAGGAGCUUGCUCCUCUGACGUUAGCGGCGGACGGGUGAGUAACACGUGGAUAACCUACCUAUAAGACUGGGAUAACUUCGGGAAACCGGAGCUAAUACCGGAUAAUAUAUUGAACCGCAUGGUUCAAUAGUGAAAGACGGUUUUGCUGUCACUUAUAGAUGGAUCCGCGCCGCAUUAGCUAGUUGGUAAGGUAACGGCUUACCAAGGCAACGAUGCGUAGCCGACCUGAGAGGGUGAUCGGCCACACUGGAACUGAGACACGGUCCAGACUCCUAAGGGAGGCAGCAGUAGGGAAUCUUCCGCAAUGGGCGAAAGCCUGACGGAGCAACGCCGCGUGAGUGAUGAAGGUCUUCGGAUCGUAAAAAUCUGUUAUUAGGGAAGAACAAAUGUGUAAGUAACUAUGCACGUCUUGACGGUACCUAAUCAGAAAGCCACGGCUAACUACGUG
rnacentral:rRNA from 1 species